GAAGCGUGUAAUUUAAAAAAGGUUUCCCUGGUUACAUGGAAACUUUUGCGGGCAAAGAGAAAGAAAUACGUUUUUAAUGAAGUCCAGGAACCCGGGGCGUUUGAUCUUCUGCUGUUCCCGGAACAGGCAGCGGUGGCUUUGCACCAGGAACAGUGUGUGCUCCCGAGCGGCCCUGCCAGCGGACGGCGGGCUGUGAGGGGCGAGAGUGCAGUGGCAGGUCACCAGCCACGCCCGCUGUUCAUGCUCAUGUCUCACGGCCUCCCGGUCUCUCCAUCUGCCGAUGAGGAAGGCACGAGCCAAGGCUGGGGGCCGCCGGCUUCUCAAUCCAAGCAGUGUCUACUCCCCGGCUCAUGGCCCCGGCCGAGCCCACAGGAUAGUUCCCAGGGGUGGCAGGAACACUGGCCAUGAAACACAGCCAUAGAAAUGCCUCUUGGGCACGGAGAGGCCCCUCAAGUCUGCCACAUCGUAGGCUGGAGUGCAGUGGCACCAUCACGGCUCACUGCAGCCUUGACCUCCCUGGCUCAAGUGAUCCUCCCACCUCAGCCUCCCAAGUAUCUGGAACCACAGAUGGGUGCCACCAGACCCAGUGGAAGAACAUGUAAAUGCAUUUACCCCAUGGACCAAGAGCACCUCAUGACAGAUGAAAAGAACUACUGGUCUGGCAUCAUACCCAACCUGGCUGAGAAGCCUGACCAUCCCCUCCUGCUGCCCUUGGUCAAUCUGGAGCCAUUAGAGUCAACAGGGAGAAAGAGGACACAGGAAUGAAAGGAGUGGUGGCCAUUCUCUUGACCCAAAACAGGGGCAAUGGUUGGACAUUCUAGGCUCCUGAAACCCCAUCCACAUAUCUACCCAUACAUUCAUAUAUCCCUUCAUUAUUCACCCACCCACUCGCCCAUCCAUCCAUCCAUCCAUCCAUCCAAUCAUCUAUCCAUCCACCA